AUCUAUUCCUGGCAUCUAACGGUUCGGACACUAGCCGCAAUUGAGAGUGGCGGAGAAAGAGAGCGGAGAAGUGAGAUUCGAGACACCAAAGGAAGAGGGCGUCCGGCGAAAGGCUGGAAGCAGAAAGCCAUUUCGGCGUACGAGCUCUGACGCGAAGAGAGCUCAGGGAGAAGAAGACCGUCAUCACGAUCCAAUAUCAUCACCGGAACCGAUAAGGUGUGUGGUGGGGCUAGGUGACAUGAUUCUGAUAAAUGGUUGUGUGUGGACAUAAGACUGGGGAAUGCCUUGAGAAUGUACUGUUUGGGGUGGGUAUGGUUGAAGGUGGGAAACCAUUGAAGAAAGGAAAGGAAAUAAAGGAAGAGGGAGUGCAGACUUGAUGGGUCUGCCAGUGAUGGAUGAGAGUAGGAGGAGGGAGAAAUAGAGAAGAGUGAAACAGAGAGAAAGCAUAUCUGACAGAUCUGUUUGGGAAGGGUAAAUUGUAGGAGGAGGGAAAACCUAGAGAAAUAAGACUUGAUGGAUCUGUUUGGGGAGGGUAAAUGCAGGAGGAAUAGACUGAGAAAAAUGAAAUGGGGAGAGAGUUGACUUGACUGGAUUGCAUGAGUAUAGAUCAACAGAGUGAGAAAGAAAAGAACAUAAAUAAAUAAAAAAGGAGUUGAGAGAAAGGGAAAUAGAGAGAAUAUAGCCCGGAAUGAUAAUAAGAGUUGCUGGUAGGAUAUCGUAAUGGGUGAAAGGUACUUGAA